rnacentral:lncRNA from 1 species
CCACCACAACGGAGGCCUGAACAGUGUCAUCUGGGACAUGUCCCAGGUGCACCUCCCACUCAUUGGCUGCCUUCGCCCUCCCUGGUGGAGCAUUACCAAGGAGGACUAGUUCCACAAAUAUUUUUCUUAACAGUUCUUUGGGGCUAUAGGAAACUUAACUUCCCCCAUCCUGCUAGUCAGCCACAACAUGUUAUUGUCACUGUUUGCAAAGUGCUGUUUAAUCUUUGUUGUUGAAUCAUUUUUAACAUCCCCACCUGGAAGGCAAGUGCUCAUUUCUCCUUCUCAUGUGUGUCGUUAACUUACUUACCCUAAAUCACCCAUGCGGACUCCACCCAUGACCAGCCCCAUCCUAUCCCAGCCUAAUCCUUAGGCAACCGAGGCAGAGAAAACUCUAUGGCGAAGUCAACAGAAGGGUAUUAAUUCUAAUUAAUUCUAAUUACCCAAUACACCUUUGUGGAGCAUUGCGAUAGGGACCAUAGCGUAUUGACUAAAACUCCAUAGUCCUGUAGUCAAGGAACUACAGUUAUAGGAUCAAGAGGUACGGAAUUAAGGCCUGAACAGAAAGAAGACUGAGGCUGCAGCAAGUGCGCCAUGAAUCCGCCAUAUUCUGUAGAAGCCCCACGCCUGUUGAUUUGGUGUUUAUGAUACAUUCAAUGAUUUAACAAAUAUCAGCUGUGUCAGGUGCCAGGCAUUGCCCCAAGCACAGGAGACGCUGGGAUGCAUAAGAUCCUCAGCAGUCCUGCUGGAGUGGAGGAAAAUGCAAGGGCUAUGACCCACCCAAGCUGGAGAUUCACUAGGACUUCCAAGAGGGAACCCAGCUGAGCAAGCGGCACCUGGAUGCCAUCUGUGUCUGAGAGGCUGUGUUUCCUCCGUCUCUAACCUGGGAGGACUCUCAAAACACAGCCCACUUGGACAUCCAAGGGCCCUGGAGAUGUCUCCACUGAAGGUCGAAGAUUCAGACUUCACUGCCCAGGAUGUGAUGCCUGGAGCUGGAGCCAAAAAUCUGCAACCAUGAGGUGACAUGCAUAAGGACAAAGAGUCGGCAAGCUGAGCAUAGUGGUGCAGGAAGGACAGCCACAGCCUGAGGCCAUGAAGAUGCCCGGUGCCAAGUCUUUAAACUCACACCUUCUGUGACUCAGUGACUCCUCUAUCGUGCCUUCCCCUGCUCCUGCAGAAGUGAAUUGAGGGGUAGGUCAGCUGGACAGCUGCCCAGGGUACUAAGCCCCAACAAGCUUAGAAACACUAACAGAAGAAGUUGGGAAAAUAUACACUUGCCCUUCUCUGAUGGAAAAAUAUGCCACUGUAGAGAGAAAGAAGCAAAGAUAACACCAGCUGGAGUUGGCUUUGGGGCUGUUACUUCUUUCCCAUGAUCAGUCAUGCAUUUUUGUGGUAUUGAUCCUUGGCCCAGACCCUGACUGGCUAAAGCCAAUAAUUCUAUCCCAUCGCAUCUCUCUGGCCGCCAUUAUUUGAUCCAUGAUGGCAGAAACCCAGUCAGAACCACUGAAACCUGUGGAGAAGUCUUCUAGGGCUUCUGGGAAAAAGAAAGUUCUCUCCCCUCCUUGAAAGCCACUCCUUCUGUGAUCCGUAUGGUGUGAAGACAUAAAGACCUGAACAGCUUCUUUACUACUAGGUCAGAAGACCACGGAACUGCCAAUGGGAAGCCAUUUGAGGCCUGAAGAAGCAAGUGAUGCUUUGGAAUGCAAAGAGGAAAUAUGGAAAGGAACAAAACUGGUCCUUGAUGAUUCUAGAUCAAACUGUACCUGAAGCUGGUCCUGCCUCUGGCCUUUUCACUGACGCAAGUUUAUACAUCCCGUUAUUCUUCAAGCCAGUUUGAGUUGGAUUCCCUGUCAUUUUCAAUGGAAAGAUUUUUAACUCACCAUUUGCUUUUGUCAAAUUGAUGAUGACAUAUUAAUACCUUUUCAAUGAGUGAUGCUGGGAAAAUGGGGCCAUGCUGUGGGUUUCUGCUUCACUGUUUUCUUUAGUAUGUUGUUUUCAAUUGGAAUGAAUACCUUCUUAAAUCAUUUUCUUAGUGGUCUCCUUGUCCACACUUUACAACACAGAUCAAGUAUCACUUUCCCUAUGAAUUCAUUACUGAGCAAGAAUGAUAAACACUGGAAUUUUAGAUCUGUUGAGACUGUCCCAAGUAAAAGUUGAGUACUUGUUUUAAGUUAGAUAGACAUGAUUUUGAAACCUGACUCUCUAAUUUACUAGCUGUGUGACUUUCGACAAUUUGCCUAAACUCUCUAAGAUACUUCUCCCAACCUGUAAAAAUCCUGUUAAUAAUAGCAUCUUAUCCCAGACAACUUUUGUGAAGAUAAAAUGAAAUAGUUCAUGUACAACAAUUACCAAGGUGCUUGACACAGAAUAAAUGCUCAAUAAAUGUUGAUGCUGUUGUUAGUGUUAACAACUUAUCAAGGAACCUACCAUCUAGAAAGAGUCCAAUAAAUCUAAUCUGCAGUUGUUAGUACGAUAAAUAUCUGCUAUCUGAGUAAUUUAAAAAGUCAUGAAUAAUGUUUGAAUGAAUAUGAGUUAAUUAAAAUAUAAUUCAAUGAAAAAAUGAAUGAAUGAAUGAAUGGCAGCUGGAAACUGAGAGGCAGGGACACAAGUAGAGGGGCUGGGCCAGAGGAUACGAAGGAGGAAGAAAGAACUGAAAGAUACCCUGUGCUUGAUGAGAAUGCCCUUCCCAUGAUCUGUGUCCCCGUCAGGUGGAAUGUUCUGCAGUGCCGCUCCCUUCAUCCUCUCAUCACUGCGGGUCAUCUGUCGGAAGCUUCUUGAUGGGCAGCUUUACAGACAGCCAUAAAGCGGCAUUUAUGGCCAAAGCCAUCAUAUUUCGUUGAGCUCUGUGCUUAGGGUGUCUACACUAUUUUCUCUCUUUUCUCUGGGUCCUAGUCACUCUGCAAAGAAGAAAUUUAGCAGAGAUGGCUGAAUUCCUUCUCAUGGUUCUGCAUAGCCUCUGAGAUAAAAUGCAAGAAACCUCAAGAACCAGAAGGCCAUUAAGAAUAAAUAGGAUAAUGUGGACGUUUAC